rnacentral:rRNA from 1 species
CCUACGGGAGGCAGCAGUGAGGAAUAUUGGUCAAUGGACGAGAGUCUGAACCAGCCAAGUAGCGUGAAGGAUGAAUGCUCUAUGGGUUGUAAACUUCUUUUAUAUGGGAAUAAAAUGUUCCACGUGUGGGUUUUUGUAUGUACCAUAUGAAUAAGGAUCGGCUAACUCCGUGCCAGCAGCCGCGGUAAUACGGAGGAUUCGAGCGUUAUCCGGAUUUAUUGGGUUUAAAGGGAGCGUAGGUGGAUUAUUAAGUCAGCGGUGAAAGUUUGUGGCUCAACCAUAAAAUUGCAGUUGAAACUGGUUGACUUGAGUAUAUUAGAGGUAGGCGGAAUGCGUGGUGUAGCGGUGAAAUGCUUAGAUAUCACGAAGAACUCCGAUUGCGAAGGCAGUUCACUAAACUACAACUGACACUGAGGCACGAAAGUGUGGGUAUCAAACAGGAUUAGAUACCCCUGUAGUC